rnacentral:rRNA from 1 species
UACGGAGAAUCCAAGCGUUAUCCGGAUUUAUUGGGUUUAAAGGGUGCGUAGGUGGCUUUUUAAGUCAGGGGUGAAAGACGGUAGCUUAACUAUCGCAGUGCCUUUGAUACUGAAGAGCUUGAAUAAACUAGAGGUAGGCGGAAUGUGACAAGUAGCGGUGAAAUGCAUAGAUAUGUCACAGAACACCAAUUGCGAAGGCAGCUUACUAUGGUUUUAUUGACACUGAGGCACGAAAGCGUGGGGAUCAAACAGG